rnacentral:rRNA from 1 species
AAUGGGGGAAACCCUGAUGCAGCGAUGCCGCGUGAGUGAAGAAGGCCCUUGGGUUGUAAAACUCUUUCGUCGGGGAAGAAAAUGACUGUACCCGAAUAAGAGGGUCCGGCUAACUUCGUGCCAGCAGCCGCGGUAAUACGAAGGGACCUAGCGUAGUUCGGAAUUACUGGGCUUAAAGAGCUCGUAGGUGGUUAAAAAAGUUGAUGGUGAAAUCCCAAGGCUCAACCUUGGAACUGCCAUCAAAACUUUUUAGCUAGAGUGUGAUAGAGGUAAGUGGAAUUUCUAGUGUAGAGGUGAAAUUCGUAGAUAUUAGAAAGAACACCAAAUGCGAAGGCAACUUACUGGGUCACUACUGACACUGAGGAGCGAAAGCAUGGGUAGCGAAGAGGAUU